CCGAUUUUCGAUUCAGUCUUGUUCUGCUAUUUCCCUCGAUCUGGUAACACCCCAUCCAUGAAAUCACCUAGAGAUGGGAGAGUGAACCAUGGAUAUGGGAUACCAAAGGGCGCCCGAUUUAUGCCAGACACUCACAGGAUAAUGCCGAAGCAGUGAAAGUGAGGUCUCCGAACAAAGCUCGAUUCAUGGUUCAAUCGUCAACAGAGAUGAACUCCAGAUUGUCCCAGAAAAAUUGUCCGAGUCGGAAUUUGCACGGAAAAGUGGUGUAUUUGACUAAGGUGCACUUAGUCUAUCCCGGGAUUCUAAGCCGGAAGCCUGCAAGUUUUUCCGUUUGAUCUUGGUAUAUUAAUAGCCUUCCGUUUAGGAUUGAAAGUAGCAUCAGGCGUUUCUCAUGAUAUGGGAGGCUUCUUGCACUGCAUCACA
rnacentral:sRNA from 2 species